GAUCAUUACUCUACGUUUAACUGUGCUUAGAUUUUGUUUAAUCUAUCGUAGAUUGUGCGCUGGGAAGCUUUGGUUGGAAUUGUAAAGACGGUUGUGUUAGUGGAUACUACGGUUAUUUGUGCCGGAGUGAAUGCAAAUGUGAUGCUCAUCAUUGUGAUUCAGCUACCGGUUGCAAAAGAGAUGUUCAUAAGUACAACACUAGUGAAACAAUGUUUCACAACAAUUCAACAGCAGAGACAAUCAGGCAGGAAGCAGGACAAACAGAAGUCACAAAGAAGUAUGUACAGACAAGCAUAUCUAGAUUAACAUCGACAAGUACCACACGUGUUAAAGAAGACUGUACUAGUGGAUACUACGGUUAUCUGUGUCGUAUUGAAUGCGAAUGUGAAGCUGAUCAUUGUGACCCGGUUACUGGAUGCACAGAAUCCGUUCAUGAGUACACAACUGAAGGUAUGUCUCUAGAAGAUUCUACAACACAGUCCUACUCUAAAUUUUGUAUUUAUUAUAGGAGUUAUGGAAUUGAUCACUCUUCGUUAUCUUCACCUUUUGAUAUACAAGGACAAAAUUAUUGAAAUUAAACCCAAGAUAUACAUAUGUACUAUACACUCUAGAAAGAAUGUUUCUCAUGAAAAACAUUCAUACCAUCAUGGCAUCAUUCAUACCAGUACAAUUGCCUACAGUAACUAGAUAUGUCUCUUUUCGAUACCAUGGUUUUUUUUAAGAUUGAUUGAGUUUCAUUAUUAUUGUUUUUCCAUCUACAACUAUCAUUUUAUUUUCACUUCUAAUUCCGUGCAUUCCCUGAAAUACCAAUCACUACACAUGUUAAUGAUCGUAAGAAUUCACGGUCCGCGGGUUGAGAAUUGAACGCACGGUAAUCCAGUUGCUUACAUCGUAAGUAUCAAAUUAUUUCGAGCCUUGAAUGAAUUGUUUUACAAUGGGUUUGGUUUCUUAGCACAAAAGCAUAGGAUUUUCUUAUAUUAAAAUUCCAUGAUGAUACAUAUAUUUUGUUAUGUUGAAGAUGACCAUUGUUUCCAAGGAACUGUAAUUCAACAGACUGUGACUUUAAGUGUAGAAAAGUAUACGUUCGGACAACGAAGCCGAAUUCGCUCCUUCCUCUUCAACGAUUAGCGCAGUACUUUUGGAGAACUUAACAAUCAUAAUAAAAAUAAUCUUAAUUUAUUCAGCAUUGUAUUAUUAAUUAUCAUAAAAGCUAGUUUACAUUAUAAUCCUCUCUUCAGGGCUAAAGCAUAGGUCUUCAAUAUCCCUUGGUUAUCGGAAGAG